rnacentral:rRNA from 1 species
GACGAACGCUGGCGGCGUGCUUAACACAUGCAAGUCGAACGAAGAGCGAUGGAAGCUUGCUUCUAUCAAUCUUAGUGGCGAACGUGUGAGUAACGCGUAAUCAACCUGCCCUUCAGAGGGGGACAACAGUUGGAAACGACUGCUAAUACCGCAUACGAUCUAAUCUCGGCAUCGAGGAUAGAUGAAAGGUGGCCUCUACAUGUAAGCUAUCACUGAAGGAGGGGAUUGCGUCUGAUUAGCUAGUUGGAGGGGUAACGGCCCAACAAGGCGAUGAUCAGUAGCCGGUCUGAGAGGAUGAACGGCCACAAUGGGAAUGAGACCAGGCCCAGACUCCUACGGGAGGCAGCAGUGGGGAAUCUUCCGCAAUGGACGAAAGUCUGACGGAGUAACGCCGCGUGGGCGAGGACGGCCUUCGGGUUGUAAAGCUCUGUUAAUCGGGACGAAAGGCCUUCUUGCGAAUAGUGAGAAGGAUUGACGGUACCGGAAUAGAAAGCCACGGCUAACUACGUG